GGGUUGUGAGGUUAAGCGACUAAGCGUACACGGUGGAUGCCCUGGCAGUCAGAGGCGAUGAAGGACGUGCUAAUCUGCGAUAAGCGUCGGUGAGGUGAUAUGAACCGUUAUAACCGGCGAUUUCCGAAUGGGGAAA
rnacentral:rRNA from 1 species